CGUGGUCAGCGUGCCACGGCGAUAAUAAUCUUCUGAACAUAUAACGUGAAUAUCCAUAUUCACCAUAUCUCUCUGUCCUCAAUCUCAGUAAAUAUAUAAGCAAGAAUGUUAAGAUUAAGCUUUCAGAUUCCAGAGACAUUGACGCAGAGCAUUGUUUCCCCACCCACUCUAACGCGCAACAACCGCCCAAUACUGUCACAUCCUGAUUUUUGAAAAAUGUUUAUUUUUCUUUCGUUGUAUUUGUUUUGACAAAUUUUUUCAGUAUACCAAGAACUCUUUGCCCACGCGCCAUCCAACGCCCACAAACCGCCCAAAACUCCCACACUUUUGGAUUUUUUCUUAAUUUUAUUAUUUUUUUUCCAAUUUCAAUCGAUAUGCCUGAACAUUUUUUUUUUCAGUUUUUCGCUAGGUACUUUGUUAUAUUUCUUGCGAACGCUUCCUGCUGUUCAGUCGGAAUACAUUGAGAAAAAUAAAUCAAUAGAAAUUUGGAAAAUUCAUUCUGGAACGGGCACAGAAACAUUUCUGAGUAAAGUUUACGAAAGCUUUGAUCUGGAAUGUUAUACAAGGUGUGUUCAAAAAGUAAAGCGAAUUUAAAUUUUUGCGGGUUAUGUAUUAUACUCAUGUCUGUCACUUAUGCCGACAAGCUCGUUCAUUUUGAACGUUCACUUAAUUUUUGACAGCUGCUCUAUUUUUCCCUAUUCAAAUUUAGUGUAAAAACGAAAUUAAGUGAGCGGAUGCAUCACGAAUGUUGACUGUGCCAUACGCAAAAGCUAACUUGGACCAAAGCAACGUUUAUCGGUGAUACAAAAUGUUCUCAGCAAAACGGAUUCCCUUUUUUUGCAAUGCACUGUGGUCCAGAAAUCGAUUUUAUCGCCAUAAAGUCUAAAAAUGAAGCUAAAGACUUGAAACAUUUUGUUGUUAAAUCACAAAUAGUUUGCACACAAAACCACGCCCUCUCUUGCCCCCCAUAUUAACUACUGAUAAGUUUCGGCGUCCCCUUUGCUGUGGUGUGUUGGAGUUUUCAAAAUACGUGUACAUAAUCUUGCUCCUGCAUUUUGGUAAGAUAAGUUUCGGCGUCCCAUUUGCUGUGGUGUCUUGGAGUUUUCAAAAUCACUAGCAAGAAUUGCCAUCCACUUAAAUCGGUCUAGUUGUCUGUUACACUCGGGCCGUUUUCUUUUAAUGAAUAAUUCAAAAUUGACUAUUUUUUUCUGUCUCUUCCAGAUUAUUGUUGUUGAUUGCGGAAUAAACGUAAUCUGAAACAUAACUUAUUUGCCAAUUGUUACGCCUCCAAAUGUCCAGGAGGUCGCUAUGUCUGAACUCGAACUUGUCUAUAUAAAAUCAAAUUCUUAGGAAACGAGCAAAAAUGGGCAAAAGAUAUUACUUUACCGUCAAAGACAAUAGUUAAAGGUUACAAUCGUAUCACGUGCAAAAGUAAGCAAAUAAUUUGGCGCGAAUUGCCUUCUCGCAAUCAGCUGUUCAACACUGCACUUUUAAAGCUCAUAUCAAAAUUGUUUUUUAUUUAUAUGAUCAAUUUUGUUUUAGAAAAUAUUUGAUAAAGGACGAUAUAUUGACAUAAAAAUGUAGACUUAAUUACAAAAAAAACGAAUUCUGGACCAUAGUGCAAUGGCAGAAACCGAGACGAAGCCGCCACUGAAGGCUUCAAAACGUUUACGCUGCACAUUGCCGGCAAAGAACGGGCAGAUCUACAUAUUUCAUAGGUCCGCCUUACAAGACGCUACCGAUCACUGCUCUUGAUCCAGAUCGAAAAAGUCGUGUCAAAAAGUUGUAUGGAAUUACACAUCUACAUAUUCUUAUGCCUUUGCUCCUUCCCAAAUUAAUUAAAUAAUCCUGAUGUUUUAUAUUUGUCUUAUUUAUAUUUAUUUAUAUAUAUAUAUAAUAAAAUAUAUUUUUAGUUUCAAAGAUCACAAAGAUCAUAUCUAUCCAAAAAAUCGCUAAUAUUGGGUUUCGAGCAUAUACAUAUAUUUAAUCCAGUAACUACAAAAUAACGUACCCUGCAAUUCCUUGCUCACAUAGGGGGGUAUUAAAAACGCGCUGACUUCCGUACUUAUCCCGUAAAUUAACUGAACACC